GAUGAACGCUGGCGGCGUGCUUAACACAUGCAAGUCGAACGAAGCAUUUGCGCAGAUUUCUUCGGAUUGAAGCACGUAUGACUGAGUGGCGGACGGGUGAGUAACGCGUGGGUAACCUGCCUUUCACAGGGGGACAACAGCUGGAAACGGCUGCUAAUACCGCAUAACCCGCUAGGGCCGCAUGGCCUGGACGGAAAAGGAGCAAUCCGGUGAAAGAUGGACCCGCGUCUGAUUAGCUAGUUGGUGAGGUAACGGCCCACCAAGGCGACGAUCAGUAGCCGAACUGAGAGGUUGACCGGCCACAUUGGGACUGAGACACGGGCCCAAACUCCUACGGGAGGCAGCAGUGGGGAAUAUUGCACAAUGGGGGAAACCCUGAUGCAGCGACGCCGCGUGAGUGAAG
rnacentral:rRNA from 1 species